UAACAAGGAUUCCCCUAGUAACUGCGAGUGAAGCGGGAAAAGCUCAAAUUUAAAAUCUGGCGGUCUUCGGCCGUCCGAGUUGUAAUCUGGAGAAGCGUUUUCCGCGCUGGACCGUGUACAAGUCUCUUGGAACAGAGCGUCAUAGAGGGUGAGAAUCCCGUCUUUGACACGGACUACCAGUGCUAUGUGAUGCGCUCUCGAUGAGUCGAGUUGUUUGGGAAUGCAGCUCAAAAUGGGUGGUAAAUUCCAUCUAAAGCUAAAUAUUGGCGAGAGACCGAUAGCGAACAAGUACCGUGAGGGAAAGAUGAAAAGCACUUUGGAAAGAGAGUUAAACAGUACGUGAAAUUGCUGAAAGGGAAACGAUUGAAGUCAGUCGCGUGUGCUAGAACUCAGCCUUGCUUUUGCUUGGUGCAUUUUCUAGUGUACGGGCCAGCAUCAGUUUUGGCCGCCGGAAAAAGGCCUUGGGAAUGUGGCACCUUCGGGUGUGUUAUAGCCCUUGGUUGUAUACGGUGGCUGGGACCGAGGAACAUAGCAUGCCUUUACGGCGGGGCUUCGGCCACCUUCAUGCUUAGGAUGCUGGCGUAAUUCCUGGUGUGAACA
rnacentral:rRNA from 1 species